UACGUAGGGUGCGAGCGUUAAUCGGAAUUACUGGGCGUAAAGCGUGCGCAGGCGGUUUUGUAAGGCAGGUGUGAAAUCCCCGGGCUCAACCUGGGAAUGGCAUUUGGGACUGCAAGGCUGGAGUGCGGCAGAGGAGACUGGAAUUCCUGGUGUAGCAGUGAAAUGCGUAGAUAUCAGGAGGAACACCGAUGGCGAAGGCAGGUCUCUGGGCUGACACUGACGCUCAUGCACGAAAGCGUGGGGAGCAAACAGG
rnacentral:rRNA from 1 species